rnacentral:rRNA from 1 species
AUGAAAUCUGACAUCAGAACUGCUAUAACAGGCACUGAAGUUUCUGCUGAAAUCUGUGAAUGGCGAGCCGGUUUUGGCAAAUGUGUUGCAUACCUAUCAAAGGCUAUGAUUUGGAUGGAGGAACCAAUUCGCUGUGGUCCACUUGUCCAGCGUGUCCGAGUCUCACAAAACAUAGAGGCCGGGUCAUUUGAUUCACACGAAAGCCUUCAGCCUGUGUACAGCUAUUUUGUGUUUUGCAAUGCAAAAGCAGAGUCUGUUCCUUCAGUUUUUUCCAACUUCAGAAAAAAAAAGGGAUUGAACAGUAACAUGAUUAUCUGUUACUACAUAACCAUCUCAGUCAACAUUGAUCGUACAAGAGCUCUGCGACUCUAG